UACGUAGGUGGCAAGCGUUGUCCGGAAUCAUUGGGCGUAAAGCGCGCGCAGGCGGUCCUUUAAGUCUGAUGUGAAAUCCCGUGGCUUAACCACGGGCGGUCAUUGGAAACUGGGGGACUUGAGUGCAGAAGAGAAGAGCGGAAUUCCACGUGUAGCGGUGAAAUGCGUAGAGAUGUGGAGGAACACCAGUGGCGAAGGCGGCUCUUUGGUCUGUAACUGACGCUGAGGCGCGAAAGCGUGGGGAGCGAACAGG
rnacentral:rRNA from 1 species